CUACGGGGUGCUCCAGUGGGGAAUAUUGCACAAUGGGCGCAAGCCUGAUGCAGCCAUGCCGCGUGUAUGAAGAAGGCCUUCGGGUUGUAAAGUACUUUCAGCGGGGAGGAAGGGAGUAAAGUUAAUACCUUUGCUCAUUGACGUUACCCGCAGAAGAAGCACCGGCUAACUCCGUGCCAGCAGCCGCGGUAAUACGGAGGGUGCAAGCGUUAAUUGGAAUUACUGGGCGUAAAGCGCACGCAGGCGGUUUGUUAAGUCAGCUGUGAAAUCCCCGGGCUCCACCUGGGAACUGCAUCUGAUACUGGCAAGCUUGAGUCUCGUAGAGGGGGGUAGAAUUCCAGGUGUAGCGGUGAAAUGCGUAGAGAUCUGGAGGAAUACCGGUGGCGAAGGCGGCCCCCUGGACGAAGACUGACGCUCAGGUGCGAAAGCGUGGGGAGCAAACAGGAUUAGAUACCCCCGUAGUC
rnacentral:rRNA from 1 species